GGUUUGUGCUAUGUGGCUGUGUUGUUGUUGUGAGAAGUGAAUUUACAGUCCCGCAGUAGGUGAAAUUGCCCAGUGGUAUUAUUUAUCAUAAGCUUAUGAAUAACAUAUAGUUAAAUGUCUUAGCUGGUUACGUGUCUUAAAGAAAACAAGGUUUUGCCAUGAUACGAAGGGCUGUUGGAAAGACUUUGGGCUUCGUUGGGUAUACUAUUCAAUAUGGUUGCAUCGCCCACUGUGCUUUUGAAUACAUUGGUGAACUUGUAAUGUGUUCUGGACCUUCUAUGCAGCCCACAAUCACAAACUAUGAUGUCGUUUUUUCAGAAAAGUUAAGUCGUCAUUUUUAUCGAAUUGAAAAGGCACGUAUGGUUAGAGGGUGAUGACCUCAAGAACUCUACAGACUCAAGAAGUUAUGGUCCAGUUCCCUACGCCCUCAUAACGGGUCGAGUUUGCUUUAAGGUACAGUAACAAUAAACAGAUUACAUGUGAACUGUCACAUUUCUGCUCAACAUCUUGGUCAUAAAAAUGAAUUCAAUAAUUGCAAAGCUAGGACAUAUAUAUAUAUUUUUUUUAAUUAAUUUAAAUCAUAACAAAAUAUUUAUAAUGUUGAGAAGUCGAUGUUUAGUUAUGUAACUGACACAGCAUUGCUUUUCUUUUUCCCCUCCUAGUUAUGGCCUCUGGAAGAAUGUGGUAGUCUACAAGAGAGCCCAAAUGGGCGCAUUCUUCAAGAUGACUGACAGAAUUUCCAUAUGCAUAUCAGCAUGUUACGUUUAGGAUUUUAUAAAUUAUGUUUUAACUGUGUUGCUUUCUAACAAAAAAACUCUAUUAAAAAAGUCUGAUAUUUUUAUACCAAUAUGUAUUACAAACAAUUUUUAUUUAUUUAUUUUAUUUAUUUAUUUUUAUCUCAAGGCAGAACUAAAAUGAUUUAAAACUGAACAAAUACAUAUUAAUAGCAGUCCUGGAAUGUACUGUUUUUGCCAGAUCCCAAUUUAAAUGUCUGUUUUAGUUGAGUAAUUGUGAUGUACACCCAUAAGAGAGACAUCCUAGAUAGAAAUGGUGCUCAAAAAUAAAAAUCACUCAGUAAUGGUAUGAAAAACUAA